rnacentral:rRNA from 1 species
GACAGAGGGGGCAAGCGUUGCUCGGAAUUACUGGGCGUAAAGGGCGCGUAGGCGGGAUGGCAAGUCGGUCGUGAAAUCCCUCGGCUCAACCGAGGAACGUCGAUCGAUACUGCUGUUCUUUGAGGAUUGCAGAGGAGACUGGAAUUCCCGGUGUAGCGGUGAAAUGUGUAGAGAUCGGGAGGAACACCGGUGGCGAAGGCGGGUCUCUGGGCAAUUCCUGACGCUGAGGCGCGAAAGCGUGGGAGCAAAACAGGAUUGAG